AAGCAUUCUGAAGACCUGACGUCUAGGCAACGCACGGGAGACCUAGUUCCUCCACUCAUAUGACGCCUAGGGGAAAGUCCCCGGAUCUCGGGUAGAGAGUGCCGUUCGCCACCUUGGCGUGCAACAAUCCUGCCCUGCUGUCCAUAUGAACCUGCUAAGAAGCUCCCAGAGCCGAGCGGAUUGGACUAGGGCGGGACCUCUCAUCAGUCACCAUAGUAACGCAGGUAGCGCGGCAAUAUCCUCGCUAACAGAACGGGGCUCAUUCUCAGAAUGCU
rnacentral:RNase_MRP_RNA from 2 species